rnacentral:rRNA from 1 species
AAAUUGAAGAGUUUGAUCAUGGCUCAGAUUGAACGCUGGCGGCAGGCCUAACACAUGCAAGUCGAGCGGUAGCACAGAGAGCUUGCUCUCGGGUGACGAGCGGCGGACGGGUGAGUAAUGUCUGGGAAACUGCCUGAUGGAGGGGGAUAACUACUGGAAACGGUAGCUAAUACCGCAUAACGUCGCAAGACCAAAGUGGGGGACCUUCGGGCCUCAUGCCAUCAGAUGUGCCCAGAUGGGAUUAGCUAGUAGGUGAGGUAACGGCUCACCUAGGCGACGAUCCCUAGCUGGUCUGAGAGGAUGACCAGCCACACUGGAACUGAGACACGGUCCAGACUCCUACGGGAGGCAGCAGUGGGGAAUAUUGCACAAUGGGCGCAAGCCUGAUGCAGCCAUGCCGCGUGUGUGAAGAAGGCCUUCGGGUUGUAAAGCACUUUCAGCGGGGAGGAAGGCGUUAAGGUUAAUAACCUUGGCGAUUGACGUUACCCGCAGAAGAAGCACCGGCUAACUCCGUGCCAGCAGCCGCGGUAAUACGGAGGGUGCAAGCGUUAAUCGGAAUUACUGGGCGUAAAGCGCACGCAGGCGGUCUGUCAAGUCGGAUGUGAAAUCCCCGGGCUCAACCUGGGAACUGCAUUCGAAACUGGCAGGCUAGAGUCUUGUAGAGGGGGGUAGAAUUCCAGGUGUAGCGGUGAAAUGCGUAGAGAUCUGGAGGAAUACCGGUGGCGAAGGCGGCCCCCUGGACAAAGACUGACGCUCAGGUGCGAAAGCGUGGGGAGCAAACAGGAUUAGAUACCCUGGUAGUCCACGCCGUAAACGAUGUCGAUUUGGAGGUUGUGCCCUUGAGGCGUGGCUUCCGGAGCUAACGCGUUAAAUCGACCGCCUGGGGAGUACGGCCGCAAGGUUAAAACUCAAAUGAAUUGACGGGGGCCCGCACAAGCGGUGGAGCAUGUGGUUUAAUUCGAUGCAACGCGAAGAACCUUACCUGGUCUUGACAUCCACAGAACUUUCCAGAGAUGGAUUGGUGCCUUCGGGAACUGUGAGACAGGUGCUGCAUGGCUGUCGUCAGCUCGUGUUGUGAAAUGUUGGGUUAAGUCCCGCAACGAGCGCAACCCUUAUCCUUUGUUGCCAGCGGUCCGGCCGGGAACUCAAAGGAGACUGCCAGUGAUAAACUGGAGGAAGGUGGGGAUGACGUCAAGUCAUCAUGGCCCUUACGACCAGGGCUACACACGUGCUACAAUGGCAUAUACAAAGAGAAGCGACCUCGCGAGAGCAAGCGGACCUCAUAAAGUAUGUCGUAGUCCGGAUUGGAGUCUGCAACUCGACUCCAUGAAGUCGGAAUCGCUAGUAAUCGUAGAUCAGAAUGCUACGGUGAAUACGUUCCCGGGCCUUGUACACACCGCCCGUCACACCAUGGGAGUGGGUUGCAAAAGAAGUAGGUAGCUUAACCUUCGGGAGGGCGCUUACCACUUUGUGAUUCAUGACUGGGGUGAAGUCGUAACAAGGUAACCGUAGGGGAACCUGCGGUUGGAUCACCUCCUUA